rnacentral:rRNA from 1 species
UUACCAUGCAGUCGACGGUAACAGGUUAAGCUGACGAGUGGCGAACGGGUGAGUAAUGUAUCGGAACGUGCCCAGUCGUGGGGGAUAACUGCUCGAAAGAGCAGCUAAUACCGCAUACGACCUGAGGGUGAAAGCGGGGGAUCGCAAGACCUCGCGCGAUUGGAGCGGCCGAUAUCAGAUUAGGUAGUUGGUGAGGUAAAGGCUCACCAAGCCGACGAUCUGUAGCUGGUCUGAGAGGACGACCAGCCACACUGGGACUGAGACACGGCCCAGACUCCUACGGGAGGCAGCAGUGGGGAAUUUUGGACAAUGGGCGCAAGCCUGAUCCAGCCAUGCCGCGUGCGGGAAGAAGGCCUUCGGGUUGUAAACCGCUUUUGUCAGGGAAGAAAAGGUUCUGGCUAAUACCUGGGACUCAUGACGGUACCUGAAGAAUAAGCACCGGCUAACUACGUGCCAGCA